GGUGCAAAUGAUGUAUCUCUAAGCGACCAAAGCCUGAAUCAAACUUCGGUGAUUAGUCUCAACUGACUGACUGCACC
ensembl:snoRNA